rnacentral:rRNA from 1 species
CUGCUCAAUGAUAUAAAUUAAAUAGCUGCAGUAUUUUAACUGUACAAAGGUAGCAUAAUCAUUUGUCUUUUUAUUAAAGUCUGGAAUGAAUGAUUAAAUGAAAAAAUUUCUGUUUCAAAUUUAAAAUUUAAAAUUUAAAUUAUUAAGUUAAAAUUCUUAAUUUUUAUUAAAAGACGAGAAGACCCUAUAGAAUUUUAUAUAAUUAAAAUUAAAUUAUUUAUAUAAAUUUAUUUAAUUUAUUUAAAAUAUAUUUAAUUGGGGAAAUUUAAAAAUUUAAUUAAAUUUUUAAAUUAAUUUACAUAAAUUUAUGAAUAAAUUUUAUUUAAUAAAAAUUAAAUUUAAAUUAAAUUACCUUAGGGAUAACAGCGUUAUUUUAUUCAAUAGUUCAUAUUGAUAAAAAAGAUUGCGACCUCGAUGUUGAAUUAAGAUAAAAUUUUAAUGAAGAAAUUAUUAAUUU